GUCAAGCGUUCUCGGACUGAACAACCCAACCCAUAAACAUUGAACUAAAGAGAAGUCUUAUUGUAUCCCAUUCGCUCAUCAUCCCUACGCAUGAUUCAGUAGGUCGGAAUUAAACAAGGUGAAACCAUUACUCCUUGUCACUUCAUACUGGGCGCGAAGGACUAUACUCAUAUAUUUUAGUGAUCGGGAUUAAGGGUAACAUGGCUCUUAAUAUGAUCUGGAGAUUAUCGCUAGCUGUAACAGCCUUGUUGCUGGUUGCUGGUCAAUCUGUACUUCCAAAAACUGGCGAUGAGUGUUCUCAGGAGCGCUCUUUCGCUAAACCGGAUGACUGCACAUCCUUCUGGCAGUGUGCAGAAAAGAGCGACGGGCUUUCCUAUUGGAUAGAAUCGAAAUGUAUCGAUGGUUUAGCAUUUAACACGGAGAACGAAAUAUGUGAGCGACCAGCCACUCCGUGUCCAGGUUUCCGGGAUUACUCAAGACCAUUAGUGAAGAUUGCACCAAGAACCAUUCGACCAGGUUGUGAAAGAGUUUUUCAGUGUCCUACAGAUCUCCAGUUCUUCAUCUAUCCUGACUGGAACAACUGUAGUAAUUAUAAUACAUGUGUUCAAGGUACCAUUUCGCCGGAAUCAUGUUUAUCGUUGGGUUACCCGUGGUAUAAUCCCUCAACUUUCGCCUGUGAACAGCAGAUAGCACCUAACAACGUCUGCUUCUUCCGAGCAUAAAGCAACAGACUUAUAUGUAUUAAAUACAUUUAAACUGGAUUAUGUCUCCACCAUAUUUUAUAUUUUACCACACAAUUUUAAUUACAUUUGUAUCUUUUUGUUACCAGGCAUAUGUAUUAAAGUUUUUGAGAUAAUUUUAAAUAUACAUUAUGCAAGAGCUAAAUCUGCCAAUUGCAGGUAUUUCUUUACGCCCGAAAUGUAAUAUCAACUAUUAAUUAGACAUUUAUUAACAUGAAAAGACCAUAAUCAACUCUCGACGGCAUUGGAUACUCGAGAUUUUAACUAGAUUAGAACGGUUCGCCUUUUAAAAAUUUAAUUUAAAAAUCGGAAAGCGAGGUCAUGUCUAGAAUAUACCAGUGCCCUGGUUAACACUAUGCGCACAUCUUGUCAAAACUACAAAUUACUUCACAAUGAAGUAUUUUGAAUGAAAUUUUCAAUAUUUUCAUUUUACAUUAUCUAUUUUUUUGAGCUUUAUAGCAAGAAUGGUCAGAUCUUUAUCUAAAUCUUACAUAAUGUAUCUUUAAGAUUAUAAUAAUGGUACCUUCAUUAAUACAUUAUCAGAAUAGAAUCUUGAUUUUAAGAUAUCUUUAUUAGGUUUUAUAUUUUAUAUUUGAGAGGGGCGGUUGGGUGGUCUAGUGGUUUAACGGAUGCGCAUGAAAUCAUAAGGUCUGUCAUUGAGUCAAGUGGCGUGGUUUUGAUUCUCCACUGUAAGUUUUAUCCGGAUCCUCCGGUUUCCUCCCACUACCACAUCUUAGUCCCGAAAUGACCUAGUUUGUGUCGAGUAGGCGUUACGCUCUCUAAUUUUACCAUACAAGUUAAAUUAUAUUAUGUUAUAAUCAAAGAUCAGACUAUAACAUGUUACUUAUCUUUAAGUACAAUUUUAAAAUAAUCCAUAUUAGUAUCACAUAUAAGAUUGUAUAAGAUGUUUUUUUUUAUAAAUAUUAUAUUAGAAUAUAUGUUAAUUAUUUUAUAAUUUUACCAUACAAUUUAAAAUAACUUAUAUUAGUAUCUGUUACUAAUUGUGUAAUUUACCAUACAAUUUAAAUUAAUUGUUUUCAGUAUCCGUUUCAAUUUAAAACAACUUAUAUUGGUAUCUGUUACUAAAUGUAUAAUUUACCAUACAAUUGAAAAUAACUUAUAUUAGUAUCUGUUACAAUUUAAAAUAACUUAUAUUGGUACCUGUUACUUAUUGUAUAAUUUACCAUACAAUAUAAAUUAAUUGUUCCCAGUAUCACCUUGUACCAUGUUACAACUUUUAUAACUUUACUAUUCAGUUUAAAAUUUGAUUAUAUUAAUAUCUCAGAUCAUAUUGAACUAUUUUGUUUGUUUAUAUCACAAUUUAACUUAUAAAGUUACCAUUCAAUUUAAAAUAAUUUAUAUCAGUAUCAAAGAUUUGAAUGCACUCUCCAAGCAUUUAAUCUCAAGAAAACUACCCAAAGCUGUAAAAAUCUAAUAUGUCACUUGACAGGACUGAGGCUGGAAUUUGUGGUUACUCGCUGGCUAUUUAUCAUAAAUAUUGAAGCCCGACUACAAUCUUGGAUUAUCCACUGCCAACUUAUUUUUCCAACGUUUAAGUCUGCAGUAUGUCUUCCAUUGUUCUGAAAAUCGCUAACCAUUCGAUCUUCAAAAUCGACCAGUCCCUACGUCGUGCAAGCAGACAGCGAGUGGACGGCUGUCAGUUAGUGGUCCGCUUUACAUUUUGUCCUGUGCGCGACUCAUGGGUGUUUUUAAGGGAAUCCAAUAUUUUAUUUGUAAGAUUGGGUGUUUCUACUUUCCAUUAUAUAUACCAAACGUGCCAUAAUUUUAUUGAAGAUAACUACCAUAUAAAUACUUCCGUGGGAAUGCAUCUUUAAAAUACAUUUGUACCACAGAUCAGAUUAAACAAAACAAUGCAAA